rnacentral:rRNA from 1 species
GACGAACGCUGGCGGCGUGCCUAAUACAUGCAAGUAGAACGCUGAAGAGAGGAGCUUGCUCUUCUUGGAUGAGUUGCGAACGGGUGAGUAACGCGUAGGUAACCUGCCUUGUAGCGGGGGAUAACUAUUGGAAACGAUAGCUAAUACCGCAUAACAAUGGAUGACACAUGUCAUUUAUUUGAAAGGGGCAAUUGCUCCACUACAAGAUGGACCUGCGUUGUAUUAGCUAGUAGGUGAGGUAAUGGCUCACCUAGGCGACGAUACAUAGCCGACCUGAGAGGGUGAGCGGCCACACUGGGACUGGGACCGGGCCCAGACUCCCACGGGAGGCAGCAGGAGGGAAUCUUCGGCAAUGGGGGCAACCCUGACCGAGCAACGCCGCGUGAGUGAAGAAGGUUUUCGGGUCGUAAAGCUCUGUUGUAAGUCAAGAACGGGUGUGAGAGUGGAAAGUUCACACUGUGACGGUAGCUUACCAGAAAGGGACGGCUAACUACGUG